rnacentral:rRNA from 1 species
UACGGGGGGAGCAAGCGUUGUUCGGAUUUACUGGGCGUAAAGGGCGCGUAGGCGGCCGCGGUAAGUCGAUUGUGAAAUCUCUGAGCUUAAACUCAGAACGGCCAAGUGAGACUGCGUAGCUGAGGGAUGCGGAAGAGGGAAGCGGAAUUUCCGGUGUAGCGGUGAAAUGCGUAGAUAUCAGGAGGAACAACCAAUGGCGAAGGCAGCGUCGCUGGAACGGUACUGACGCUGAGGCGCGAAAGCGUGGGGAGCGAACAGG